rnacentral:tmRNA from 1 species
GGGGACGUAAAGGUUUCGACGGGGAUUGUGCAGUGCGAUAAGCGGGUAGAGAUGGGGAAUCUCUAUAAUAAUCCUCAUUUUUAAAUUAAACGCUAACGACGAAUUAGCAAUCGCUGCCUAAGUGCGGCUGUCCGUCCGGGGAGUGCCACGGCCCCGGAAUGUCCCGAACGGGAGCACGUCCUACUUGACUGCGGCAUCAAAUGAGUGGCGUCCGUGAACGGUGAGUUCGCUCUUGCAUCCGUCACGCACGAAAGGGCUACCGACCUGUAUACCCUGACCGCCGGGGAUACAGGCGGGAAGCACAAAAGACGGUCUGCACCCGGAGAAAGUUGCAUGAAUCGGUUUUCGGACGCGGGUUCGACUCCCGCCGUCUCCAGCG